UUUCCGUAGGUGAACCUGCGGAAGGAUCAUUAGAACAUUUUUUCUCACCUCGGACCGAGCCCGUAAGGGCGAGGGAAGAGGUGAGAGAAAUUUCAAUAAUACCACAAACACAAAAAAAGAACAUGUUUAUAAGAGUUUUACACUUUUUGUUUUUUACAAUCCCUUUUCACAAUUCACAAACACAAAUAGAAUUUUUUGUCUUAUCAAAAUGAGCAUGAUCUUUUUCAUACUCUAACAAAUAACAAAACAUCAAAAACAACUCUUAGCAACGGAUAUCUUGGUUCUC
rnacentral:misc_RNA from 1 species